ensembl:lncRNA
CUUGUAUACAAGGGCGGUCACAGAACGCUCACACCAGAGUGGGGGCCCUGUGAUCAGCGCCCUGUUACCGCUCUGGUCUUUAUUUAUAUACAAAGCAAUACAACAGUGAAUACGUCUAUUCAUAGGCAGAGGAAUGUUAGUGCGUAGGGAGUGAAGAUAAGAGUGGUUCAGGUGUAUGUGUGUGUGUUGUGAGAUUCAGAAAGACGCGGCCCCUCUUCUUGUUAGAGAGCGCAGAUAAAAGUGUCCAGCUCUCCUCUUCCUGCUUGUUCAGCUAUUAUCGCUGUGAGAAAGAAUUUAUAAAACAGUCGUGUAGUGGACAACAGUCUAAGUCAUCAAAAGGUCAACAUACAGUAUUCUAUCAUAUGCAAACUUAUAUCAUUAAAAGCUUAUACUGCUAAGUACAAUUUUCCAUUGACAUUCCCUCCUGUUGUCAGUAUAACUUUCAAGUGAGAUAUCAGUAUGUAACAUCUUGUUGUACAGUUCCUAUCACACCAUCAUUAAUCACACAAAGUCUUCAUGUUCCAACAGGUCGGGGUCAUCAUCAUCAUCAUUUGUCACGGCUAUGUAUGCAGCAACAGUGGAAACAAUUAUACGGUUAAUCAUGAGUUUUAGACAUGGCAGGAUACAUGUUACAAAAACACAAAAUAAAAGUGAAAAUACAAAAAGGGAUAAAUGGAAUAAAUAAGAAUAAGAAUACAAAGGAAUUGCAAGUAUUUCAAGUAUUUCAAGUAUUGAAGUCUAGUGCACCGUUGGUUUUUAACAAAAAGUAUUGCACAGUGAGAAGGCAGUAGUAGUCUUUUUAGCAGUCACUUGUAUUACUUACAUAGUCCUGAUUUUGGGCCUGCUUGAUCUGUCUCAAGGCGUUCAGGGCAUCAGUCAUGUUUGAUGAGUGUACAUUGUCUGAUGUGUGUGUGUGUCAUUUCUCACUCAAUCAACAAGUGCACGUCUGUUCAGGUGUGUGUUUCUCUUCAUUCUGAGUCAGUGUGUGUAGAUGUGUAUGUUAGUGUAUGUUGGCGUGUUUAUCACUUUCCUGUUCUGGUGUUUUGGGUAAACCACGGCCUGAAGCGUGCCCUGGGGUCCUGCCCUCCUCCUUUUCAGUCCGGUUGCGACCAUUGCUGCUGCUGCUCAUAGUUCAGUCUGUCCUGGUCCUGGCCCCAAUUGGGGCAGUCCUUUCUCCAGUGUCCAUGCUCACCGCAGGUGAAACCUGCAUCUUCUUCUGUGUUUUGUCCAUUCUGAGGUGCCUUUUGACCUCAGUUGCUCCUCCUGUCUCUGGCACGCCCUUUCUUCUGCUGCCCGAUCAUCCGUGUUGGUCCGUCACUGUCCUGUACAGUGUUAAUGCAGGGUUAUCAAGGUCAGCAUUCUUUUGCUCGGCCUUACUUUUCAUUCGGGCUUAAUGGGCGUCUCGUCACAGCUCUGUCAGCUGAAGCUGUCUGGGAAUUUUCCCCCGUGUAGUGAAAUGGGCCUUGAGUUUAGUGCUCUCCGUCUCUGCUGCAUGAGAUCCUUUUCCUGCAGCACUGUUGACAUUUUCAGGUUGUUGUUAUGGGUCUAGCUGCUGCAGCAUUUGGUCAGGGUCACGUCAAAGAUGGUAGAGGGGAGAGCAGGAGUCCAGGUCAGCCUCGGCUUUCAGGACCGGCAAAGCAGCCUGUAAUUAAACAUAAAGAGAAAAAACAAAAACAAAACAAAAAACCGACGAACAGGGAAAUGAUGUUGUAUUGGCUGUGUUAUUCAGAGAGGGGAGAAACACCGGGCCAGGCCCUGUGUCAGCCUUCUCUCCCCCUUUUUUU